rnacentral:rRNA from 1 species
AGGGGUAAUUCCUUUCCCGCCAUGGGCGUAAGCCUGACGGAGCAACGCCGCGUGAGAAAAGAAGGUCUUCGGAUCGUAAAACUCUGUUAUCAGGGAAGAACUUUAUGUGUAAGUAACUGUGCACAUCUUGACGGGACCGGAUUAAAGGCCGGGCUUCUCGUGCCGCAGCCGCGGUUAUA